rnacentral:rRNA from 1 species
CCUACGGGUGGCAGCAGUCGAGAAUCAUUCACAAUGGGGGAAACCCUGAUGGUGCGACGCCGCGUGGGGGAAUGAAGGUUUUCGGAUUGUAAACUCCUGUCACGUGGGCGCAAAUUAAAACGAUAGCACCACAAGAGGAAGAGACGGCUAACUCGGGGCCAGCAGCCGCGGUAAUACAGGGGUCUCAAGUGUUCGGCGGAAUCAUUGGGCGGAAAGCGUGCGGAGGAUGUAGCUGACGUCAGUGGUGAAACCCGCGGCCUCAACCCGCGGACGGUACAUGAUACUGUGCGACUUGAGUAAUGGAGGGGGAACCGGAAUGCUGGGUGUAGCAGUGAAAUGCGUAGAUA